rnacentral:tRNA from 1 species
UGGGGAGUAGCUCAGCGGUAGAGCAGGCUCUUGAUAAGGGUCAGGUCGCAAGUUCGAAUCUCGCCUCUCCAACCA